UGUAGAUUGGCCUGAGCAAAUUUGGUGCCGGUGGAACGAAAGCCUUCGGAGGAGUUAGCGAAAUUCCAAUGUGUGCGGAUCGGCAAAAAAUGCGAAAUAGCCCUUUAACCGUACAUUUGACAGAUACGCCCGCACUGACUUUUUUGUAGAUCUUAUUGAGAUACACAUGUGUGUCAAAUUUUGUGUCAUUUUGACAAAGCGUACAGGUGUCAGGUGAGUUUUCACCAUAGGGGGCGCUAUGGAGCCAUUUUUCAUUUUUUUGUUUGGGCGACUUCAGAAUAUCAAAUUUUUCACCAGGCCCGGUCGUCCUGCCAAAUUUCCUGAGUUUUCGCCAGUGGGAAGUGGGCCAUUUUCCAGUUUAAAGCGGAGGAAAAAUAACGAAAGAAGAAUCCAUCAGGAACAAGAGGGCUCUCGCAGCUGCUUAGCAGCUACGCUCGGGCCCUAAAAAACCUAUACAGGAAUAAUAGGGCUCUACGCCCGGCUGCUCUGCAGCUGGCUCGGGCCCUAAAAAGUUAUAAGAGUUUUAAGAAUGUGGAUUUUUGGGUUAUCUUUGGCGCCCCCUAGAACCUAAACCGUGGGGUGCAGCGUCAUGAUUUGUACAACUUUUAAUGGCCAUGGGGUGUAGAUUGGCCUGAGCAAAUGUGGUGCUGGUGGAACGAAAGCCUUUGGAGGAGUUAGCGAAAUUCCAAUGUGUGCGGAUCGGCAAAAAAUGCGGAAUAACCCUUUAACCAUACAUUUGACAGAUACGCCCGCACUGACUUUUUUGUAGAUCUUAUUGCGAUACAUGUGUGUGUCAAUUUUUGUGUCAAUAUGACAAAGCAUACAGGCGUGACAGUCAAUAGUGUGAAUUUUCACCUUAGGGGGCGCUAUGGAGCCAUUUUGCAUUUUAUUGUUUCGGCGACUUCAGCAUAUCGAAUUUUUCACCAGGCCCGGUCGUCCUGCCAAAUUUCAUGAGUUUUCGCCAGUGGGAAGUGAGUUUUUUUCCAGUUCAAAGGGGAGGAAAAAGAAGACUAGGGCCCCGUUGGGGCACUGGCGGGCCCGAGCCGUGUCGCGCCGCUCCCAGCGCGACCACCUACCCCUCCCGAUCGCGUCACACUAAAGGUCCAAAGAUGGUGUGCGCACUUGUCUGUGGUCAUUUACCAUUAUAAUGAAUGGGAGGCGCAGUUUCUACCAAAACGCUCGCUGCAGACAAACUCCAUGUCCUUUUUGAAAAAAGUCUGGACCAUGAGUGAAGGCACAAACACAGCUAGUAUAUACCCAAAUGGCAAGGUGCUCCUCCUUUCGGUUUUGCCGAGAGAGCGAUGAAUUAGAGCCAUUGAGCGAUGGGCAGGAAAAACUUGACUUUUUCUCCUGCCAUUGGGGGGCGCUCUUUUGGGGAAAAAAAAUUCCUUCACAAAUGUGUUGAUGACUGAACAUUGCAUCAUCCUAGAAAACUUGGAGGCCAGUGAGGACAAAAAUAAAGUUAUAAGACUUUUAAAAAUGUGGAUAUUUGGGUCAUCUUUGGCGCCCCCUAGAACCUAAACCGUGGAGUGCAGCGUCAUGAUUUGAAUAACUUUUAAUGGCCAUGGGGUGUAGAUUGGCCUGAGCAAAUUUGGUGUCAGUGGAACGAAAGCCUUAGGAGGAGUUAGCCACAUUCCAAUGUGUGCGAAUCUGCAAAAAAUGCGAAAUAGCCCUUUAACUGUACAUUUUACAGAUACGCGCACAUUGACUUUUUCAUAGAUCUUAUUGAGAUACACUUGAUUGUCAAAUUUUGUGUCAAUAUGACAAAGCAUACAGGCGUGACACUCAACAAUGUGUAUAUUCGCCUUAGGGGACAAGAAAAAAUGGACUUUUUUCUCCUGCCAUGGGGGGGCACUCUUUUGGCGAGUAAAAAUUCCUUCACAAAUGUGUUAAUUGCUGGACAUUGCAUCAUCCUAGAGAACUUGGAGGCCAGUGAGGACAAAAAUAAAAAGUUAUAAGACUUUUAAGAAUGUGGAUUUUUGGGUUAUCUUUGGCGCCCCCUAGAACGUAAACCGUGGGGUGCAGCGUCAUGAUUUGUACAACUUUUAAUGGCCAUGGGGUGUAGAUUGGCCUGAGCAAAUGUGGUGCCGGUGGAACGAAAGCCUUCGGAGGAGUUAGCGAAAUUCCAAUGUGUGCGGAUCGGCAAAAAAUGCGAAAUAACCCUUUAACCGUACAUUUGACAGACACGCCCGUGCUGACUUUUUUGUAGAUCUUAUUGAGAUACAUGUGUGUGUCAAUUUUUGUGUCAAUAUGACAAAGCGUACAGGCGUGACAGUCAAUAGUGUGAAUUUUCACCUUAGGGGGCGCUAUGGAGCCAUUUUGCAUUUUAUUGUUUGGGCGACUUCAGAAUAUCGAAUUUUUCACCAGGCCCGGUCGUCCUGUCAAAUUUCAUGAGUUUUCGCCAGUGGGAAGUGGGCCAUUUUCCCCUUCAAAGGGGAGGAAAAAUAAGAAGAAAGAAAGAAAGAAAGAAGAAAGAAAAACUCAUCAGGAACAACAGGGCUCUCGCAGCUGCUUAGCAGCUACGCUCGGGCCCUAAAGACUAGGGCCCCGUUGGGGCACUGGCGGGCCCGAGCUGUGUCGCGCCCCCCCCCAACGCGCUGCCUCCCCGUCCCAUUCGCGUCCUCUGGCCAUCGUCCUCUCUGGUGACGCCCAUCACUGCAAAGACCCUUUUCCUUCAUCGGGGUUUGCUGUUCUUCCUGCCAGUGCGUGUUGCUUUCACUUACACUUGCCACAGCCAGCCUCGUGAGUGCCUAGCCUAUUGGAUAUCACUGUCACCUACACAGGACAGUCAUUACCUUUCUAUUAAUACUUUGUUUUUUAAUUAGGGCCCGAGCGUAGCUGCUAAGCAGCUGCGAGAGCCCUCUUGUUCCUGAUGGAUUCUUCUUUUGUUAUUAUUAGGGCCCGAGCCAGCUGCAGAGCAGCCGGGCGUAGAGCCCUAUUAUUCCUGUAUAGGUUUUUCUUUCUUCUUUCUUUCUUUCUUUCUUUCUUUCUUCUUAUUUUUCCUCCCCUUUGAAGGGGAAAAUGGCCCACUUCCCACUGGCGAAAACUCAUGAAAUUUGGCAGGACGACCGGGCCUGGUGAAAAAUUCGAUAUUCUGAAGUCGCCCAAACAAUAAAAUGCAAAAUGGCUCCAAAGCGCCCCCUAAGGUGAAAAUUCACACUAUUGACUGUCACGCCUUUACGCUUUGUCAUAUUGACACAAAAAUUGACACACACAUGUAUCUCAAUAAGAUCUACGAAAAAGUCAGUGCGGGCGUAUCUGUCAAAUGUACGGUUAAAGGGUUAUUUCGCAUUUUUUGCCGAUCCGCACACAUUGGAAUUUCGCUAACUCCUCCGAAGGCUUUCGUUCCACUGGCACCACAUUUGCUCAGGCCAAUCUACACCCCAUGGCCAAUAAAAGUUGUACAAAUCAUGACGCUGCACCCCACGGUUUACGUUCUAGGGGGCGCCAAAGAUAACCCAAAAAUCCACAGUCUUAAAAGUCUUAUAACUUUUUAUUUUUGUCCUCACUGGCCUCCAAGUUCUCUAGGAUGAUGCAAUGUCCAGCCAUCAACACAUUUGUGAAGGAAUUUUUACUCGCCAAAAGAGCGCCCCCCCAUGGCAGGAGAAAAAAGUCCAUUUUUUCUUGUCUCCUAAGGCGAAAAUACACACUGUUGACUGUCACGCCUUUACGCUUUGUCAAAAUGACACAAAAUUUGACACACACAUGUAUCUCAAUAAGAUCUACGAAAAAGUCAACGCGAGCGUAUCUGUUCAAUAUACGGUUAAAGGGCUAUUUCGCAUUUUUUGCCGAUUCGCACACAUUGGAAUGUGGCUAACUCCUCCUAAAGCUUUUGUCCCAUCGGCUUCAAAUUUGCUCAGGUCAAUCUACACCCCAUGGCCAUUCAAAGUUGUACAAAUCAUGACGCUGCACCCCACGGUUUACGUUCUAGGGGGCGCCAAAGAUAACCCAAAAAUCCACAGUCUUAAAAGUCUUAUAACUUUUUAUUUUUGUCCUCACUGGCCUCCAAGUUUUCUAGGAUGAUGCAAUGUCCAGCCAUCAACACAUUUGUGAAGGAAUUUUUUCUCCCCAAAAGAGCGCCCCCCCCAUGGCAGGAGAAAAAGUCAAGUUUUUCCUGCCCAUCGCUCAAUGGCUCAAACGCAUCGCUCUCUCGGCAAAACCGAAAGGAGGAGCAACUUGCCAUUUGGAUAUAUACUAGCUGUGUUUGUGCCCUCACUCAUGGUCCAGACUUUUUUCAAAAAGGACAUGGAGUUUGUCUGCAGCGAGCGUUUUGGUAGAAACUGCGCCUCCCAUUCAUUAUAAUGGUAAAUGACCACAGACAAGUGCGCACACCAUCUUUGGACCUUGAGUGUGACGCGAUCGGGAGGGGUAGGCGGUCGCGCUGGGGGUGGCGCGACGCGGCUCGGGCCCGACAGUGCCCCACCGGGGCCCUAGUUAUUAUUUUUCCUCCGCUUUAAACUGGAAAAUGGCCCACUUCCCACUGGCGAAAACUCAUGAAAUUUGGCAGGACGACCGGGCCUGGUGAAAAAUUCGAUAUUCUGAAGUCGCCCAAACAAGAAAAUGCAAAAUGGCUCCAUAGCGCCCCCUAAGGUGAAAAUUCACACUAUUGACUGUCACGCCUGUACGCUUUGUCAUAUUGACACAAAAAUUGACACACACAUGUAUCUCAAUAAGAUCUACAAAAAAGUCAGUGCGGGCGUAUCUGUCAAAUGUACGGUUAAAGGGUUAUUUUGCAUUUUUUGCAGAUCCGCACACAUUGGAAUUUCGCUAACUCCUCCGAAGGCUUUCGUUCCACCGGCACCACAUUUGCUCAGGCCAAUCUACACUCCAUGGCCAUUCAAAGUUGUACAAAUCAUAAUGCUGCACCCCAUGGUUUAGGUUCUAGGGGGCGCCAAAAAUAACCCAAAAAUCCACAUUCUUAAAAGUUUUAUAAAUUUUUUUUUUGUCCUCACUGGCCUCCAAGUUUUCUAGGAUGAUGCAAUGUCCAGCCAUCAACACAUUUGUGAAGGAAUUUUUACUCCCCAAAAGAGCGCCCCCCCAUGGCAGGAAUAAAAAGUCCAUUUUUUCUUGUCCCCUAAGGUGAAAAUACACAUUGUUGAGUGUCACGCCUGUACGCUUUGUCGUAUUGACAAAAAAUUUGACACACACGUGUAUCUCAAUAAGAUCUACGAAAAAGUCAAUUGGCGCGUAUCUGUAAAAUGUACGGCUAAAGGGCUAUUUUGCAUUUUUUGCCGAUUCGCACACAUUGGAAUGUGGCUAACUCCUCCUAAGGCUUUCGUCCCACUGACACCAAAUUUGCUCAGGCCAAUCUACACCCCAUGGCCAUUCAAAGUUGUAAAAAUCAUGCCGCUGCACCCCAUGGUUUACGUUCUAGGGGGCGCCAAAGAUGACCCAAAUAUCCACAUUCUUAAAAGUCGUUUUGGCCACUGCAGGAGUACAGAGUACUGCAGGAUACACACACACAGACACACACACACACACACACACACACACACACACACACACACACACACUCAGAGUCUGUUUUUUAGCACCUGCAAAAACAUGCUAUUUACAUAUUUGACAACAAUGCAGAGGCUUCCUUUUGCCCCUGAAAAAAAUCAAAUUUCUAACACAACUUGACUGCUCAUUUCUCCAAAAGACAACCAUGAAGCUCCAUCCAAACCUGAAGCAGGCAGUUGGUGCAUGUGUACAGUAACCUGAGGGGAGUGAGGUGACUGCUUCUGAGGAGAACAUGAGCAGUGAAGAUUCACCUUGGAGCGAGAACAGGGACGUGCACAUGAUUAUACGGGGGCAGGGGCUCAAGUUUUUUCCAGUCGUUUAUACAAUAUGGAAAUUAAUGUGAAAUUAAAAAACAAAGUAUUAAUAGAAAGGUAAUGACUGUCCUGUGUAGGUGACAGUGAUAUCCAAUAGGCUAGGCACUCACAAGGCUGGCUGUGGCAAGUGUAAGUGAAAGCAACACGCACUGGCAGGAAGAACAGCAAACGCCGAUGAAGGAAAAGGGUCUUUGCAGUGAUGGGCGUUACCAGAGAGGACGAUGGCCAGAGGACGCGAAUGGGACGGGGAGGCAGCGCGUUGGGGGGGGGGGGGGGGGGGGGGGGGGGGGGGGCGACACAGCUCGGGCCCGCCAGUGCCCCAACGGGGCCCUAGUUUCACAUUAAUUUCCAUAUUGUAUAAACGACUGGAAAAAACUUGAGCCCCUGCCCCUGUAUAAUCAUGUGCACGUCCCUGUUCUUGCUCCAAGGUGAAUCUUCACUGCUCAUGUUCUCCUCAGAAGCAUUCACCUCACUCCCCUCAGGUUACUGUACACAUGCACCAACUGCCUGCUUCAGGUUUGGAUGGAGCUUCAUGGUUGUCUUUUGGAGAAAUGAACAGUCAAGUUGUGUUUGAAAUUUGAUUUUUUUCAGGGGCAAAAGGAAGCCUCUGCAUUCUUGUCAAAUAUGUAAACAGCAUGUUUUUGCAGGUGCUAAAAAACAGACUCUGAGUGUGUGUGUGUGUGUGUGUGUGUGUGUGUGUGUAUCCUGCAGUACUCUGUACUCCUGCAGUGACCAAAAAGACUUUUAAGAAUGUGGAUUUUUGGGUCAUCUUUGGCGCCCCCUAGAACUGCAGUACUCUUUACUCCUGCAGUGGCCAAAAUGACUUUUAAGAAUGUGGAUUUUUGGGUCAUCUUUGGCGCCCCCUAGAACGUAAACCGUGGGGUGCAGCGGUAUGAUUUUUACAACUUUGAAUGGGCAUGGGGUGUAGAUUGCCCUGAGCAAAUUUGGUAUCGGUGGGACGAAAGCCUUAGGAGGAGAUAGCCACAUUCCAAUGUGUGCGAAUCGGCAAAAAAUGCGAAAUAGCCCUUUAACCGUACAUUUGACAGAUACGUGCCUAUUGACUUUUUUGUAGAUCUUAUUGAGAUACACGUGAUUGUCAAAUUGUGUGUCAAUAUAACAAAGUGUAUAGGCGUGACACUCAACAAUGUGUAUUUUUACCUUAGGAGACAAGAAAAAAUGGACUUUUUUCUCCUGCCAUGGGGGGGCGCUCUUUUGGGGAGUAAAAAUUCCUUCACAAAUGUGUUGAUGGCUGGACAUUGCAUCAUCCUAGAAACCUUGGAGGCCAGUGAGGACAAAAAUAAAAAGUUAUAAGACUUUUAAGAAUGUGGAUUUUUGGGUUAUCUUUGGCGCCGCCUAGAACAUAAAUCGUGGGGUGCAGCGUCAUGAUUUGUACAACUUUUAAUGGCCAUGGGGUGUAGAUUGGCCUGAGCAAAUGUGGUGCCGGUGGAACGAAAGCCUUCGGAGGAGUUAGCGAAAUUCCAAUGUGUGCGGAUCGGCAUAAAAAGCGAAAUAGCCCUUUAACCAUACAUUUGACAGAUACGCCCGCACUGACUUUUUCGUAGAUCUUAUUGAGAUACACAUAUGUGUCAAAUUUUGUGUCAUUUUGACAAAGCGUACAGGCAUCAGGUGAGUUUUCACCAUAGGGGGCGCUAUGGAGCCAUUUUUCAUUUUUUUGUUUGGACGACUUCAGAAUAUCAAAUUUUUCACCAGGCCCGGUCGUCCUGCCAAAUUUCCUGAGUUUUCGCCAGUGGGAAGUGGGCCAUUUUCCAGUUUAAAGCGGAGGAAAAAUAACGAAAGAAGAAUCCAUCAGGAACAAGAGGGCUCUCGCAGCUGCUUAGCAGCUACGCUUGGGCCCUAAUAAUAACAAAAGAAGAAUCCAUCAGGAACAAGAGGGCUCUCGCAGCUGCUUAGCAGCUACGCUCGGGCCCUAAAGAAAGAAGAAAGAAGAACCCAUACAGGAAUAAUAGGGCUCUACGCCCGGCUGCUCUGCAGCUGGCUCGGGCCCUAAUAAGACUUUUAAAAAUGUGGAUAUUUGGGUCAUCUUUGGCGCCCCCUAGAACCUAGACCGUGGGGUGCAGCGUCAUGAUUUGUACAACUUUGAAUGGCCAUGGGGUGUAGAUUGGCCUGAGCAAAUUUGGUGUCAGUAGAACGAAAGCCUUAGGAGGAGUUAGCCACAUUCCAAUGUGUGCGAAUCGGCAAAAAAUGCAAGAUAGCCCUUUAACCGUACAUUUUACAGAUAUGUGCCCAUUGACUUUUUCGUAGAUCUUAUUGAGAUACACGUGUGUGUCAAAUUUUGUGUCAAUAUGACAAAGCGUAUAGGCGUGACACUGAACAAUGUGUAUUUUCACCUUAGGGGACAAGAAAAAAUGGCCUUUUUUGUCCUGCCAUGGGGGGGGCGCUGUUUUGGGGAGUAAAAAUUCCUUCACAAAUGUGUUGAUGGCUGGACAUUGCAUCAUCCUAGAAAACUUGGAGGCCAAUGAGGACAAAAAUAAAAAGUUAUAAGAUUUUUAAGAAUGUGGAUUUGUGGGUUAUCUUUGGCGCCCCCUAGAACGUAAACCAUGGGGUGCAGCGUCAUGAUUUGUACAACUUUCAAUGGCCAUGGGGUGUAGAUUGGCCUGAGCAAAUGUAGUGCUGGUGGAACAAAAGCCUUCGGAGGAGUUAGCGAAAUUCCAAUGUGUGCGGAACGGCAAAAAAUGCGAAAUAACCCUUUAACCGUACAUUUGACAGAUACGCCCGCACUGACUUUUUUGUAGAUCUUAUUGAGAUACAUGUGUGUGUCAAUUUUUGUGUCAAUAUGACAAAGCGUACAGGCGUGACAGUCAAUAGUGUGAAUUUUCACCUUUGGGGGCGCUAUUGAGCCAUUUUGCAUUUUAUUGUUUGGGAGACUUCAGAAUAUCGAAUUUUUCACCAGGCCCGGUCGUCCUGCCAAUUUUCAUGAGUUUUCGCCAGUGGGAAGUGGGCCAUUUUCCAGUUUAAAGCGGAGGAAAAAUAAUAACUAGGGCCCCGGUGGGGCACUGUCGGGCCCGAGCCGCGUCGCGCCGCCCCCAGCGCGACCGCCUCCCCCUCCCGAUCGCAUCACACUCAAGGUCCAAAGAUGGUGUGCGCACUUGUCUGUGGUCAUUUCCCAUUAUAAUGAAUGGGAGGCGCAGUUUCUACCAAAACGGUCGCUGCAGACAAACUACAUGUCCUAUUUGAAAAAAGUCUGGACCAUGAGUGAGGGCACAAACACAGCUAGGAUAUAUCCAAAUGGCAAGUUGCUCCUCCUUACGGUGUUGCCAGGAGAGCGAUGCGAUUGAGCCAUUGAGCGAUGGGCAGGGUUAACUGGACUUUUUCUCCUGCCUUGGGGGGGGGGAUGUGGAUUCUUUUAAGAAUGUGGAUAUUUGGGUCAUCUUUGGCGCCCCCUAGAACGUAAACCAUGGGGUGCAGCGGCAUGAUUUUUACAACUUUGAAUGGCCAUGGGAUGUAGAUCGGCUUGAGCAAAUUUGGUGUCGGUGGGAAGAAAGCCUUAGGAGGAGUUAGCCACAUUCCAAUGUGUGCGAAUCUGCAAAAAAUGCGAAAUAGCCCUUUAACCGUACAUUUUACAGAUACGUGCCCAUUGACUUUUUCGUAGAUCUUAUGGAGAUACACGUGUGUGUCAAAUUUUGUGUCAUUUUGACAAAGCGUAUAGGCGUGACAGUCAAAAAUGUGUUUUUUCACCUUAGGGGACAAGAAAAAAUGGACUUUUUUCUCCUGCCAUGGGGGGCGUUCUUUUCGGGAGUAAAAAUUCCUUUACAAAUGUGUUGAUGGCUGUACAUUGCAUCAUCCUAGAAAACUUGGAGGCCAGUGAGGACAAAAAUAAAAAGUUAUAAGACUAUUAAGAAUGUGGAUUUUUGGGUUAUCUUUGGCGCCCCCUAGAACCUAAACCGUGGAGUGCAGCGUCAUGAUUUGUACAACUUUUAAUGGCCAUGGGGUGUAGAUUGGCCUGAGCAAAUUUGGUGGCGGUGGAACUAAAGCCUUCGGAGGAGUUAGCAAAAUUCCAAUGUGUGCGGAUCGGGAAAAAAUGCGAAAUAACCCUUUAACCGUACAUUUUACAGAUACGCCCGCACUGACUUUUUUGUAGAUCUUAUUGAGAAACAUAUGUGUGUCAAUUUUUGUGUCAAUAUGACAAAGCGUACAGGCGUGACAGUCAAUAGUGUGAAUUUACACCUUAGGGGGCGCUAUGGAGCUAUUUUGCAUUUUAUUGUUUGGGCGACUUCAGAAUAUCGAAUUUUUCACCAGGCCCGGUCGUCCUGCCAAAUUUUAUGAGUUUUCGCCAGUGGGAAGUGGGCCAUUUUCCAGUUCAAAGGGGAGGAAAAAGAAGAAAGAAAGAAACAAAGAAAAACCACUACAGGAACAACAGGGCUCUACGCCCGGCUGCUCUGCAGCUGGCUCGGGCCCUAAAAAGAAACAAAGAAAAACCACUACAGGAAUAAUAGGGCCUCGCAGCUGCUUAGCAGCUACGCACGGGCCCUAACAAACUAGGGCCCCGGUGGGGCACUGGCGGGCCCGAGCCGUGUCGCGCCGCCCCCAGCGCGACCGCCUCCCCCUCCCGAUCGCGUCACACUCAAGGUCCAAAGAUGGUGUGCGCACUUGUCUGUGGUCAUUUACCAUUAUAAUGAAUGGGAGGCGCAGUUUCUACCAAAAUGCUCGCUGCAGACAAACUCCAUGUCCUUUUUGAAAAAAGUCUGGACCAUGAGUGAGGGCACAAACACAGCUUCCAUAUAUCCAAAUGGCAAGUUGCUCCUCCUUUCGGUUUUGCCGAGAGAGCGAUGCGUUUGAGCCAUUGGGCGAAGGGCAGGAAAAACUUAACUUUUUAUCCUGCCAUGGGGGGGCGCUCUUUUGGGGAGAAAAAAUUCUUUCACAAAUGUGUUGAUGGCUGGACAUUGCAUCAUCCUAGAAAACUUGGAGGCCAGUGAGGACAAAAAUAAAAAGUUAUAAGACUUUUAAAUAUGUGGAUUUUAGGGUUAUCUUUGGCGCCCCCUAGAACCUAAACCGUGGGGUGCAGCGUCAUGAUUUGAAUAACUUUUAAUGGCCAUGGGGUGUAGAUUGGCCUGAGCAAAUGUGGUGCCAGUGGAACGAAAGCCUUAGGAGGAGUUAGCCACAUUCCAAUGUGUGCGGAUCGGCAAAAAAUGUGGAAUAACCCUUUAACCGUACAUUUGACAGAUACGCGCGCAUUGACUUUUUCGUAGAUCUAAUUGAGAUACACAUGAUUGUCAAUUUUUGUGUCAUUUUGCCAAAGCGUACAGGCGUGACAGUCAACAAUGUGUAUUUUCACCUUAGGGGACAAGAAAAAAUGGACUUUUUUCUCCUGCCAUGGGGGGGCGCUCUUUUGGGGAGUAAAAAUUCCUUCACAAAUGUGUUGAUGGCUGGACAUUGCAUCAUCCUAGAAAACUUGGAGGCCAAUGAGGACAAAAAUAAAAAGUUAUAAGAUUUUUAAGAAUGUGGAUUUGUGGGUUAUCUUUGGCGCCCCCUAGAACGUAAACCAUGGGGUGCAGCGUCAUGAUUUGUACAACUUUCAAUGGCCAUGGGGUGUAGAUUGGCCUGAGCAAAUGUAGUGCUGGUGGAACAAAAGCCUUCGGAGGAGUUAGCGAAAUUCCAAUGUGUGCGGAACGGCAAAAAAUGCGAAAUAACCCUUUAACCGUACAUUUGACAGAUACGCCCGCACUGACUUUUUUGUAGAUCUUAUUGAGAUACAUGUGUGUGUCAAUUUUUGUGUCAAUAUGACAAAGCGUACAGGCGUGACAGUCAAUAGUGUGAAUUUUCACCUUUGGGGGCGCUAUUGAGCCAUUUUGCAUUUUAUUGUUUGGGAGACUUCAGAAUAUCGAAUUUUUCACCAGGCCCGGUCGUCCUGCCAAUUUUCAUGAGUUUUCGCCAGUGGGAAGUGGGCCAUUUUCCAGUUUAAAGCGGAGGAAAAAUAAUAACUAGGGCCCCGGUGGGGCACUGUCGGGCCCGAGCCGCGUCGCGCCGCCCCCAGCGCGACCGCCUCCCCCUCCCGAUCGCAUCACACUCAAGGUCCAAAGAUGGUGUGCGCACUUGUCUGUGGUCAUUUCCCAUUAUAAUGAAUGGGAGGCGCAGUUUCUACCAAAACGGUCGCUGCAGACAAACUACAUGUCCUAUUUGAAAAAAGUCUGGACCAUGAGUGAGGGCACAAACACAGCUAGGAUAUAUCCAAAUGGCAAGUUGCUCCUCCUUACGGUGUUGCCAGGAGAGCGAUGCGAUUGAGCCAUUGAGCGAUGGGCAGGGUUAACUGGACUUUUUCUCCUGCCUUGGGGGGGGGGGGAUGUGGAUUCUUUUAAGAAUGUGGAUAUUUGGGUCAUCUUUGGCGCCCCCUAGAACGUAAACCAUGGGGUGCAGCGGCAUGAUUUUUACAACUUUGAAUGGCCAUGGGAUGUAGAUCGGCUUGAGCAAAUUUGGUGUCGGUGGGAAGAAAGCCUUAGGAGGAGUUAGCCACAUUCCAAUGUGUGCGAAUCUGCAAAAAAUGCGAAAUAGCCCUUUAACCGUACAUUUUACAGAUACGUGCCCAUUGACUUUUUCGUAGAUCUUAUGGAGAUACACGUGUGUGUCAAAUUUUGUGUCAUUUUGACAAAGCGUAUAGGCGUGACAGUCAAAAAUGUGUUUUUUCACCUUAGGGGACAAGAAAAAAUGGACUUUUUUCUCCUGCCAUGGGGGGGCGUUCUUUUCGGGAGUAAAAAUUCCUUUACAAAUGUGUUGAUGGCUGUACAUUGCAUCAUCCUAGAAAACUUGGAGGCCAGUGAGGACAAAAAUAAAAAGUUAUAAGACUAUUAAGAAUGUGGAUUUUUGGGUUAUCUUUGGCGCCCCCUAGAACCUAAACCGUGGAGUGCAGCGUCAUGAUUUGUACAACUUUUAAUGGCCAUGGGGUGUAGAUUGGCCUGAGCAAAUUUGGUGGCGGUGGAACUAAAGCCUUCGGAGGAGUUAGCAAAAUUCCAAUGUGUGCGGAUCGGGAAAAAAUGCGAAAUAACCCUUUAACCGUACAUUUUACAGAUACGCCCGCACUGACUUUUUUGUAGAUCUUAUUGAGAAACAUAUGUGUGUCAAUUUUUGUGUCAAUAUGACAAAGCGUACAGGCGUGACAGUCAAUAGUGUGAAUUUACACCUUAGGGGGCGCUAUGGAGCUAUUUUGCAUUUUAUUGUUUGGGCGACUUCAGAAUAUCGAAUUUUUCACCAGGCCCGGUCGUCCUGCCAAAUUUUAUGAGUUUUCGCCAGUGGGAAGUGGGCCAUUUUCCAGUUCAAAGGGGAGGAAAAAGAAGAAAGAAAGAAACAAAGAAAAACCACUACAGGAACAACAGGGCUCUACGCCCGGCUGCUCUGCAGCUGGCUCGGGCCCUAAAAAGAAACAAAGAAAAACCACUACAGGAAUAAUAGGGCCUCGCAGCUGCUUAGCAGCUACGCACGGGCCCUAACAAACUAGGGCCCCGGUGGGGCACUGGCGGGCCCGAGCCGUGUCGCGCCGCCCCCAGCGCGACCGCCUCCCCCUCCCGAUCGCGUCACACUCAAGGUCCAAAGAUGGUGUGCGCACUUGUCUGUGGUCAUUUACCAUUAUAAUGAAUGGGAGGCGCAGUUUCUACCAAAAUGCUCGCUGCAGACAAACUCCAUGUCCUUUUUGAAAAAAGUCUGGACCAUGAGUGAGGGCACAAACACAGCUUCCAUAUAUCCAAAUGGCAAGUUGCUCCUCCUUUCGGUUUUGCCGAGAGAGCGAUGCGUUUGAGCCAUUGGGCGAAGGGCAGGAAAAACUUAACUUUUUAUCCUGCCAUGGGGGGGGCGCUCUUUUGGGGAGAAAAAAUUCUUUCACAAAUGUGUUGAUGGCUGGACAUUGCAUCAUCCUAGAAAACUUGGAGGCCAGUGAGGACAAAAAUAAAAAGUUAUAAGACUUUUAAAUAUGUGGAUUUUAGGGUUAUCUUUGGCGCCCCCUAGAACCUAAACCGUGGGGUGCAGCGUCAUGAUUUGAAUAACUUUUAAUGGCCAUGGGGUGUAGAUUGGCCUGAGCAAAUGUGGUGCCAGUGGAACGAAAGCCUUAGGAGGAGUUAGCCACAUUCCAAUGUGUGCGGAUCGGCAAAAAAUGUGGAAUAACCCUUUAACCGUACAUUUGACAGAUACGCGCGCAUUGACUUUUUCGUAGAUCUAAUUGAGAUACACAUGAUUGUCAAUUUUUGUGUCAUUUUGCCAAAGCGUACAGGCGUGACAGUCAACAAUGUGUAUUUUCACCUUAGGGGACAAGAAAAAAUGGACUUUUUUCUCCUGCCAUGGGGGGGCGCUCUUUUGGGGAGUAAAAAUUCCUUCACAAAUGUGUUGAUGAAUGGACAUUGCAUCAUCCUAGAAAACUUGGAGGCCAGUGAGGACAAAAAUAAAAAGUUAUAAGACUUUUAAAAAUGUGGAUUUUUGGGUUAUCUUUGGCGCCCCCUAGAACGUAAACCGUGGGGUGCAGCGUCAUGAUUUGAAUAACUUUUAAUGGCCAUGGGGUGUAGAUUGGCCUGAGCAAAUGUGGUGCCGGUGGAACGAAAGCCUUCGGAGGAGUUAGCGAAAUUCCAAUGUGUGCGGAUCGGCAAAAAAUGCGAAAUAACCCUUUAACCGUACAUUAGACAGAUACGCGCGCAUGGACUUUUUUGUAGAUCUUAUUGAGAUACAUGUGUGUGUCAAUUUUUGUGUCAUUUUGACAAAGCGUACAGGCGUGACAGUCAAUAGUGUGAAUUUUCACCUUAGGGGACAAGAAAAAAUGGACUUUUUUCUCCUGCCAUGGGGGGGCGCUCUUUUGGGGAGUAAAAAUUCCUUCACAAAUGUGUUGAUGGCUGGACAUUGCAUCAUCCUAGAAAACUUGGAGGCCAGUGAGGGCAAAAAUAAAAAGUUAUAAGACUUUUAAAUAUGUGGAUUUUAGGGUUAUCUUUGGCGCCCCCUAGAACCUAAACCGUGGGGUGCAGCGUCAUGAUUUGAAUAACUUUUAAUGGCCAUGGGGUGUAGAUUGGCCUGAGCAAAUGUGGUGCCGGUGGAACGAAAGCCUUCGGAGGAGUUAGCGAAAUUCCAAUGUGUGCGGAUCGGCAAAAAAUGCGAAAUAACCCUGUAACCGUACAUUUGACAGAUACGCCCGCACUGACUUUUUUGUAGAUCUUAUUGAGAUACAUGUGUGUGUCAAUUUUUGUGUCAUUUUGACAAAGCGUACAGGCGUGACAGUCAAUAGUGUGAAUUUUCACCUUAGGGGGCGCUAUGGAGCCAUUUUGCAUUUUCUUGUUUGGGCGACUUCGGAAUAUCAAAUUUUUUACCAGGCCCGGUCGUCCUGCCAAAUUUCAUGAGUUUUCGCCAGUGGGAAGUGGGCCAUUUUCCAGUUCAAAGGGGAGGAAAAAGAAAAAAGAAAGAAAGAAACAAAGAACUAGGGCCCCGGUGGGGCACUGUCGGGCCCGAGCCGCGUCGUGCCGCCCCCAGCGUGACCGCCUCCCCCUCCCGAUCGCGUCACACUCAAGGUCCAAAGAUGGUGUGCGCACUUGUCUGUGGUCAUUUCCCAUUAUAAUGAAUGGGAGGCGCAGUUUCUACCAAAACACUCACUGCAGACAAACUUCAUGUCCUAUUUGAAAAAAGUCUGGACCAUGAGUGAGGGCACAAACACAGCUGGGAUAUAUCCAAAUGGCAGGUUGCUCCUCGUUACGGUGUUGCCUGGAGAGUGAUGCGAUUGAGCCAUUGAGCGAUGGGCAGGAAAAACUUGACUUUUUCUCCUGCCAUGGGGGGGGGGGAAUGUGGAUUCUUUUAAGAGUGUGGAUCUUUUGGUCAUCUUUGGCGCCCCCUAGAACGUAAACCGUGGGGUGCAGCGUCAUGAUUUUUACAACUUUGAAUGGCCAUGGGGUGUAGAUUGGCCUGAGCAAAUUGGGUUUCAGUGGGACGAAAGCCUUAGGAGGAGUUAGCCACAUUCCAAUGUGUGCGAAUCGGCAAAAAAUGCAAAAUAGCCCUCUAACCGUACAUUUGACAGAUACGCACCCAUUGACUUUUGCGUAGAUCUUAUUGAGAUACACGUGAUUGUCAAAUUUUGUGUCAAUAUGACAAAGCGUACAGGUGUCACACUCAACAAUGUGAAUUUUCACCUUACGGGACAAGAAAAAAUGGACUUUUUUCUCCUGCCAUGGGGGGGCGCUCUUUUGGGGAGUAAAAAUUCCUGAUGGCUGGACAUUGCAUCAUCCUAGAAAACUUGGAGGCCAGUGAGGACAAAAAUAAAAAGUUAUAAGACUUUGAAAUAUGUGGAUUUUAGGGUUAUCUUUGGCGCCCCCUAGAACCUAAACCGUGGGGUGCAGCGUCAUGAUUUGAAUAACUUUUAAUGGCCAUGGGGUGUAGAUUGGCCUGAGCAAAUGUGGUGCCGGUGGAACGCCAGCCUUAGGAGGAGUUAGCGAAAUUCCAAUGUGUGCGGAUCAGCAAAAAAUGCGGAAUUACCCUUUAACCGUACAUUUGACAGAUACACGCGCAUUGACUUUUUCGUAGACCUUAUUGAGAUACAUGUGUGUGUCAAAUUUUGUGUCAAUAUGACAAAGCGUACAGGCGUGACACUCAACAAUGUGUAUUUUCACCUUAGGGGACAAGAAAAAAUGGACUUUUUUCUCCGGCCAUGGGGGGGCGCUCUUUUGGGGAGUAAAAAUUCCUUCACAAAUGUGUUGAUGGCUGGACAUUGCAUCAUCCUAGAAAACUUGGAGGCCAGUGAGGGCAAAAAUAAAAAGUUAUAAGACUUUUAAAUAUGUGGAUUUUAGGGUUAUCUUUGGCGCCCCCUAGAACCUAAACCGUGGGGUGCAGCGUCAUGAUUUGAAUAACUUUUAAUGGCCAUGGGGUGUAGAUUGGCCUGAGCAAAUGUGGUGCCGGUGGAAAGAAAGCCUUCGGAGGAGUUAGCGAAAUUCCAAUGUGUGCGGAUCGGCAAAAAAUGCGGAAUAACCCUUUAACCGUACAUUUGACAGAUACGCCCGCACUGACUUUUUUGUAGAUCUUAUUGAGAUACACAUGUGUGUCAAUUUUUGUGUCAUUUUGACAAAGCGUAAAGGCGUGACAGUCAAUAGUGUGAAUUUUCACCUUAGGGGGCGCUAUGGAGCCAUUUUGCAUUUUCUUGUUUGGGCGACUUCGGAAUAUCAAAUUUUUCACCAGGCCCGGUCAUCCUGCCAAAUUUCAUGAGUUUUCACCAGUGGGAAGUGGGCCAUUUUCCAGUUCAAAGGGGAGGAAAAAGAAGAAACUAGGGCCCCGUUGGGGCACUGGCGGGCCCGAGCUGUGUCGCGCCCCCCCCCAACGCGCUGCCUCCCCGUCCCAUUCGCGUCCUCUGGCCAUCGUCCUCUCUGGUGACGCCCAUCACUGCAAAGACCCUUUUCCUUCAUCGGGGUUUGCUGUUCUUCCUGCCAGUGCGUGUUGCUUUCACUUACACUUGCCACAGCCAGCCUCGUGAGUGCCUAGCCUAUUGGAUAUCACUGUCACCUACACAGGACAGUCAUUACCUUUCUAUUAAUACUUUGUUUUUUAAUUUCACAUUAAUUUCCAUAUUGUAUAAACGACUGGAAAAAAACUUGAGCCCCUGCCCCUGUAUAAUCAUGUGCACGUCCCUGUUCUUGCUCCAAGGUGAAUCUUCACUGCUCAUGUUCUCCUCAGAAGCAUUCACCUCACUCCCCUCAGGUUACUGUACACAUGCACCAACUGCCUGCUUCAGGUUUGGAUGGAGCUUCAUGGUUGUCUUUUGGAGAAAUGAACAGUCAAGUUGUGUUUGAAAUUUGAUUUUUUUCAGGGGCAAAAGGAAGCCUCUGCAUUCUUGUCAAAUAUGUAAACAGCAUGUUUUUGCAGGUGCUAAAAAACAGACUCUGAGUGUGUGUGUGUGUGUGUGUGUGUGUGUAUCCUGCAGUACUCUGUACUCCUGCAGUGACCAAAAAGACUUUUAAGAAUGUGGAUUUUUGGGUCAUCUUUGGCGCCCCCUAGAACUGCAGUACUCUUUACUCCUGCAGUGGCCAAAAUGACUUUUAAGAAUGUGGAUUUUUGGGUCAUCUUUGGCGCCCCCUAGAACGUAAACCGUGGGGUGCAGCGGCAUGAUUUUUACAACUUUGAAUGGGCAUGGGGUGUAGAUUGCCCUGAGCAAAUUUGGUAUCGGUGGGACGAAAGCCUUAGGAGGAGAUAGCCACAUUCCAAUGUGUGUGAAUCGGCAAAAAAUGCGAAAUAGCCCUUUAACCGUACAUUUGACAGAUACGUGCCUAUUGACUUUUUUGUAGAUCUUAUUGAGAUACACGUGAUUGUCAAAUUGUGUGUCAAUAUGACAAAGUGUAUAGGCGUGACACUCAACAAUGUGUAUUUUUACCUUAGGAGACAAGAAAAAAUUGACUUUUUUCUCCUGCCAUGGGGGGGCGCUCUUUUGGGGAGUAAAGAUUCCUUCACAAAUGUGUUGAUGGCUGGACAUUGCAUCAUCCUAGAAACCUUGGAGGCCAGUGAGGACAAAAAUAAAAAGUUAUAAGACUUUUAAGAAUGUGGAUUUUUGGGUUAUCUUUGGCGCCGCCUAGAACCUAAACCGUGGGGUGCAGCGUCAUGAUUUGUACAACUUUUAAUGGCCAUGGGGUGUAGAUUGGCCUGAGCAAAUGUGGUGCCGGUGGAACGAAAGCCUUCGGAGGAGUUAGCGAAAUUCCAAUGUGUGCGGAUCGGCAAAAAAAGCGAAAUAGCCCUUUAACCAUACAUUUGACAGAUACGCCCGCACUGACUUUUUCGUAGAUCUUAUUGAGAUACACAUGUGUGUCAAAUUUUGUGUCAUUUUGACAAAGCGUACAGGCAUCAGGUGAGUUUUCACCAUAGGGGGCGCUAUGGAGCCAUUUUUCAUUUUUUUGUUUGGACGACUUCAGAAUAUCAAAUUUUUCACCAGGCCCAGUCGUCCUGCCAAAUUUCCUGAGUUUUCGCCAGUGGGAAGUGGGCCAUUUUCCAGUUUAAAGCGGAGGAAAAAUAACGAAAGAAGAAUCCAUCAGGAACAAGAGGGCUCUCGCAGCUGCUUAGCAGCUACGCUCGGGCCCUAAAAAACCACUUGGGGAAUAAUAGGGCCUACGCCCGGCUGCUCUGCAGCUGGCUCGGGCCCUAAUAAUAACACUAGGGCCCCGUUGGGGCACUGGCGGGCCCGAGCCGUGUCGCGCCGCCCCCAGCGCGACCGCCUACCCCUCCCGAUCGCGUCACACUCAAGGUCCAAAGAUGGUGUGGGCACUUGUCUGUAGUCAUUUACCAUUAUAAUGAAUGGGAGGCGCAGUUUCUACCAAAACGCUCGCUGCAGACAAACUCCAUGUCCUUUUUGAAAAAAGUCUGGACCAUGAGUGAGGGCACAAACACAGCUAGUAUAUAUCCAAAUGGCAAGUUGCUCCUCCUUUCCGUUUUGCCGAGAGAGCGAUGCGUUUGAGCCAUUGAGCGAUGGGCAGGAAAAACUUGACUUUUUCUCCUGCCAUGGGGGGGCGCUCUUUUGGGGAGAAAAAAUUCCUUCACAAAUGUGUUGAUGGCUGGACAUUGCAUUCCUAGAAAACUUGGAGGCCAGUGAGGACAAAAAUAAAAAGUUAUAAGACUUUUAAAAAUGUGGAUAUUUGGGUCCUCUUUGGCGCCCCCUAGAACGUAAACCGUGGGGUGCAGCGUCAUGAUUUGUACAACUUUAAAUGGCCAUGGGGUGUAGAUUGACCUGAGCAAAUUUGAAGCCGAUGGGACAAAAGCUUUAGGAGGAGUUAGCCACAUUCCAAUGUGUGCGAAUCGGCAAAAAAUGCGAAAUAGCCCUUUAAUCGUACAUUGAACAGAUACGCUCGCAUUGACUUUUUCGUAGAUCGUAUUGAGAUACAUGUGUGUGUCAAUUUUUGUGUCAUUUUGACAAAGCGUAAAGGCGUGACAGUCAACAAUGUGUAUUUUCGCCUUAGGAGACAAGAAAAAAUGGACUUUUUUCUCCUGCCAUUGGGGGGCGCUCUUUUGGGGAGUAAAAAUUCCUUCACAAAUGUGUUGAUGGCUGGACAUUGCAUCAUCCUAGAGAACUUGGAGGCCAGUGAGGACAAAAAUAAAAAGUUAUAAGACUUUUAAGACUGUGGAUUUUUGGGUUAUCUUUGGCGCCCCCUAGAACGUAAACCGUGGGGUGCAGCGUCAUGAUUUGUACAACUUUUAAUGGCCAUGGGGUGUAGAUUGGCCUGAGCAAAUGUGGUGCCGUUGGAACGAAAGCCUUCGGAGGAGUUAGCGAAAUUCCAAUGUGUGCGGAUCGGCAAAAAAUGCGAAAUAACCCUUUAACCGUACAUUUGACAGAUACGCCCGCACUGACUUUUUUGUAGAUCUUAUUGAGAUACAUGUGUGUGUCAAUUUUUGUGUCAAUAUGACAAAGCGUAAAGGCGUGACAGUCAAUAGUGUGAAUUUUCACCUUAGGGGGCGCUAUGGAGCCAUUUUGCAUUUUAUUGUUUGGGCGACUUCAGAAUAUCGAAUUUUUCACCAGGCCCGGUCGUCCUGCCAAAUUUCAUGAGUUUUCGCCAGUGGGAAGUGGGCCAUUUUCCAGUUUAAAGCGGAGGAAAAAUAAUAAUAAUAACUAGGACCCCGUUGGGGCACUGGCGGGCCCGAGCCGUGUCGCGUCCCCCCCCCCCCCCCCAACGUGCUGCCUCCCCGUCCCAUUUGUGUCCUCUGGCCAUCGCCCUCUCUGGUAACGCCCAUCACUGCAAAGACCCUUUUCCUUCAUCGGCGUUUGCUGUUCUUCCUGCCAGUGCGUGUUGCUUUCACUUACACUUGCCACAGCCAGCCUCGUGAGUGCCUAGCCUAUUGGAUAUCACUGUCACCUACACAGGACAGUCAUUACCUUUCUAUUAAUACUUUGUGUUUUAAUUUCACAUUAAUUUCCAUAUUGUAUAAACGACUGGAAAAAACUUGAGCCCCUGCCCCUGUAUAAUCAUGUGCAUGUCUCUGUUCUAGCUCCAAGGUGAAUCUUCACUGCUCAUGUUCUCCUCAGAAGCACUCACCUCACUCCCCUCAGGUUACUGUACACAUGCACCAACUGCCUGCUUCAGGUUUGGAUGGAGCUUCAUGGUUGUCUUUUGGAGAAAUGACCAGUCAAGUUGUGUUUGAAAUUUGAUUUUUUUCAGGGGCAAAAGGAGCCUCUGCAUUCUUGUCAAAUAUGUAAAUAGCAUGUUUUUGCAGGUGCUAAAAACCAGACUCUGAGUGUGUGUGUGUGUGUGUGUGUGUGUGUGUGUGUGUGUGUGUGUGUGUGUGUGUGCGUUCAAGUCACAUGACAUAUUUAACCGGAUGUAGCUGCAAGACGGAGCCUCGUUGACUCUCCGUUUCAACUUAUCUCAAAAGUGAGGACCUCAACCUAUAUACCAGUUUUUAAAUUGUGUUGAUAGGCCAAAUAAAACCAGAGUUAUGAUAAAUUAUGUCCGCGAUAUUUUUUUCUGCUUAUUUUGAUCACGUUCGGCGCUCGAUCGCGCUGUAUGAGACAGGAAAACAUAGCAUGCAGACAUUAGCGACAGUUCUUACAGGCGGAAAAGGCUUGCCAAAAAAAAAAAAAACACACCACAACAUCUCUCCUAUUGGUGGAAAACUUCACCACAACAACCAAUCCAAAAUUAUAUGGUGACUGAUUGACAAGGGGGGGCGCUUACGUUCUUCCUGCAACAUGAGAAGGGAGGGAGGGACUCUCAGCAGGGAUGCAGUCUGGGACACGUAGUUGCAAACCUAGCGACUUUGUUGUUAGAUUCAAUGACUUUUCAGACCCCCUAACGACUUUUUUUUAGAAAGAAAGGGACUUUUAUCGACUUCUUCUGGAGUUUAGAGACUCUGACAUGAAGCAGGCUUUCCAUACUGAGGAGUUAGCAACGCUGCUAAGGGUGCAGAGCCACACAUGCGCUCAGAGCUCUGCAUGGGAGACUGAAGCUGACAGAGCUGCAGCAGUUAGCAGGUUUCACCCUCAGAGACCACCACGGGUUCAUGUUGAGGCAUUAAAAAUUUUUUUUUUUUUUUGUGCCAUAGACACUGUCAGCACAAUCUGCAGUUACACUAACAAAAAUGCUGCAAAAAACAAAGAAUUAUGGAAAAAUUACACAUGGACUGACAUAGAGGAGGAUCUACACAAGUUUUUUACAUCAUGUUUUACAUCAUGCAUCAUUUACAUCAUGUUUUUUUGUAGUGGCAUAAAUAAAAAGUGACAUUUGUGAGACUAUACAGUGUUUUGUAAAUAAUUUUACAAAGAACGCCUGGGCCAUUGCCUGCAUUUUGAUGUAAAUAGAGGUAAAUUACUAUGUUCUUUGUUAAAAAUUUGCAUAUGUUUUGAAGUUUACAAUUUUUAUUUGAAGUUUAAGUUUUAAAAACAGUUCAUCACACAUAUUUGUGGUUUAAUUUCACAUUAAUUUCCAUAUUGUAUAAAUGACUGGAAAAAACUUGAGCCCCUGCCCCUGUAUAAUCAUGUGCACGUCCCUGUUCUAGCUCCAAGGUGAAUCUUCACUGCUCAUGUUCUCCUCAGAAAUAGUCACCUCACUCCCCUCAGGUUACUGUACACAUGCACCAACUAUCUGCUUCAGGUUUGAAAUGGAGCUUCAUGGUUGUCUUUUGGAGAAAUGAACAGUCAAGUUGUGUUUGAAAUUUGAUUUUUUUCAGGGGCAAAAGGAAGCCUCUGCAUUCUUGUCAAAUAUGUAAACAGCAUGUUUUUGCAGGUGCUAAAAAACAGACUCUGGUGUGUGUGUGUGUGUGUGUGUGUGUGUGUGUGUGUGUGUGUGUGUGUGUGUAUGUUGGCGUGUGUGUAUAUGUGUGUGUAUCCUGCAGUACUCUGUACUCCUGCAGUGGCCAAAAAGACUUUUAAGAAUGUGGAUUUUUGGGUCAUCUUUGGCGCCCCCUAGAACUGCAGUACUCUGUACUCCUGCAGUGGCCAAAAUGACUUUUAAGAAUGUGGAUAUUUGGGUCAUCUUUGGCGCCCCCUAGAACGUAAACCGUGGGGUGCAGCGUCAUGAUUUUUACAACUUUGAAUGGGCAUGGGGUGUAGAUAGCCCUGAGCAAAUUUGGUAUCGGUGGGACGAAAGCCUUAGGAGGAGAUAGCCACAUUCCAAUGUGUGCGAAUCGGCAAAAAAUGCAAAAUAGCCCUUUAACCGUACAUUAUACAGAUACGCGCUCUUUGACUUUUUCGUAGAUCUAAUUGAGAUACACAUGAUUGUCAAAUUUUGUGUCAAUAUGACAAAGCGUUCAGGCGUGACACUCAACAAUGUGUCUUUUUAUGUAAGGGGACAAGAAAAAAUUGCCUUUUUUCUCCUACCAUGGGGGGGCGCUCUUUUGGGGAGUAAAAAUUCCUUCACAAAUGUGUUGAUGGCUGGACAUUGCAUCAUCCUAGAAAACUUGGAGGCCAGUGAGGACAGAAAUAAAAAGUUAUAAAACAUUUAAGAAUGUGGAUUUUUGGGUUAUCUUUGGCGCCCCCUAGAACCUAAACCAUGGGGUGCAGCAUCAUGAUUUGAAUAACUUUUAAUGGCCAUGGGGUGUAGAUUGGCCUGAGCAAAUGUGGUGCCGGUGGAACGAAAGCCUUCGGAGGAGUUAGCGAAAUUCCAAUGUGUGCGUAUCGGCAAAAAAUGCAGAAUAACCCUUUAACUGUACAUUUGACAGAUACGCGCGCACUGACUUUUUUGUAGAUCUUAUUGAGUUACAUGUGUGUGUCAAUUUUUGUGUCAUUUUGACAAAGCGUAUAGGCGUGACACUCAACAAUGUGUAUUUUCACCUUAGGGGACAAGAAAAAAUUGACUUUUUUCUCCUGCCAUGGGGGGGCGCUCUUUUGGGGAGUAAAAAUUCCUUCACAAAUGUGUUGAUGGCUGGACAUUGCAUCAUCCUAGAAAACUUGGAGGCCAGUGAGGACAAAAAUAAAAAGUUAUAAGACUUUUAAAAAUGUGGAUUUUAGGGUUAUCUUUGGCGCCCCCUAGAACCUAAACCGUGGGGUGCAGCGUCAUGAUUUGAAUAACUUUUAAUGGCCAUGGGGUGUAGAUUGGCCUGAGCAAAUGUGGUGCCGGUGGAACGAAAGCCUUCGGAGGAGUUAGCGAAAUUCCAAUGUGUGCGGAUCGGCAAAAAAUGCGAAAUAACCCUUUAACCGUACAUUUGACAGAUACGCCCGCACUGACUUUUUUGUAGAUCUUAUUGAGCUACAUGUGUGUGUCAAUUUUUGUGUCAUUUUGACAAAGCGUACACGCGUGACAGUCAAUAGUGUGAAUUUUCACCUUAGGGGGCGCUAUGGAGCCAUUUUGCAUUUUCUUGUUUGGGCGACUUCGGAAUAUCAAAUUUUUCACCAGGCCCGGUCGUCCUGCCAAAUUUCCUGAGUUUUCGCCAGUGGGAAGUGGGCCAUUUUCCAGUUCAAAGGGGAGGAAAAAGAAGAAAGAAAGAAAGAAAGAAACAAAGAAAAACCCCUUGGGGAAUAAUAGGGCCUACGCCCGGCUGCUCUGCAGCUGGCUCGGGCCCUAAUAAUAACAAAAGAAGAAUCCAUCAGGAACAAGAGGGCUCUCGCAGCUGCUUAGCAGCUACGCUCGGGCCCUAAGAAAGAAACAAAGAAAAACCACUUGGGGAAUAAUAGGGCUCUCGCAGCUGCUUAGCAGCUACGCUCGGGCCCUAAAAACCACUUGGGGAAUAAUAGGGCCUACGCCCGGCUGCUCUGCAGCUGGCUCGGGCCCUAAAGAAAGAAAGAAAUAAAGAAAGAAAGAAGAAAGAAAAACCUAUACAGGAAUAAUAGGGCUCUACGCCCGGCUGCUCUGCAGCUGGCUCGGGCCCUAAUAAGACUUUUAAAAAUGUGGAUAUUUGGGUCAUCUUUGGCGCCCCCUAGAACCUAAACCGUGGGGUGCAGCGUCAUGAUUUGUACAACUUUGAAUGGCCAUGGGGUGUAGAUUGGCCUGAGCAAAUUUGGUGUCAGUAGAACGAAAGCCUUAGGAGGAGUUAGCCACAUUCCAAUGUGUGCGAAUCGGCAAAAAAUGCAAGAUAGCCCUUUAACCGUACAUUUUACAGAUAUGUGCCCAUUGACUUUUUCGUAGAUCUUAUUGAGAUACACGUGUGUGUCAAAUUUUGUGUCAUUUUGACAAAGCGUAUAGGCGUGACACUGAACAAUGUGUUUUUUCACCUUAGGGGACAAGAAAAAAUGGCCUUUUUUGUCCUGCCAUGGGGGGGGGCGCUGUUUUGGGGAGUAAAAAUUCCUUCACAAAUGUGUUGAUGGCUGGACAUUGCAUCAUCCUAGAAAACUUGGAGGCCAAUGAGGACAAAAAUAAAAAGUUAUAAGACUUUUAAAAAUGUGGAUAUUUAGGUCAUCUUUGGCGCCCCCUAGAACCUAAAUCGUGGGGUGCAGCGUCAUGAUUUGUACAACUUUGAAUGGCCAUGGGGUGUAGAUUGGCCUGAGCAAAUUUGGUGUCAGUAGAACGAAAGCCUUAGGAGGAGUUAGCCACAUUCAAAUGUGUGCGAAUCGGCAAAAAAAACAAGAUAGCCCUUUAACCGUACAUUUUACAGAUAUGUGCCCAUUGACUUUUUCGUAGAUCUUAUUGAGAUACACGUGUGUGUCAAAUUUUGUGUCAAUAUGACAAAGCGUAUAGGCGUGACACUGAACAAUGUGUAUUUUCACCUUAGGGGACAAGAAAAAAUGGCCUUUUUUGUCCUGCCAUGGGGGGGCGCUGUUUUGGGGAGUAAAAAUUCCUUCACAAAUGUGUUGAUGGCUGGACAUUGCAUCAUCCUAGAAAACUUGGAGGCCAAUGAGGACAAAAAUAAAAAGUUAUAAGAUUUUUAAGAAUGUGGAUUUGUGGGUUAUCUUUGGCGCCCCCUAGAACGUAAACCAUGGGGUGCAGCGUCAUGAUUUGUACAACUUUCAAUGGCCAUGGGGUGUAGAUUGGCCUGAGCAAAUGUAGUGCUGGUGGAACGAAAGCCUUCGGAGGAGUUAGCGAAAUUCCAAUGUGUGCGGAACGGCAAAAAAUGCGAAAUAACCCUUUAACCGUACAUUUGACAGAUACGCCCGCACUGACUUUUUUGUAGAUCUUAUUGAGAUACAUGUGUGUGUCAAUUUUUGUGUCAAUAUGACAAAGCGUACAGGCGUGACAGUCAAUAGUGUGAAUUUUCACCUUUGGGGGCGCUAUUGAGCCAUUUUGCAUUUUCUUGUUUGGGAGACUUCAGAAUAUCGAAUUUUUCACCAGGCCCGGUCGUCCUGCCAAAUUUCAUGAGUUUUCGCCAGUGGGAAGUGGGCCAUUUUCCAGUUUAAAGCGGAGGAAAAAUAAUAACUAGGGCCCCGGUGGGGCACUGUCGGGCCCGAGCCGCGUCGCGCCGCCCCCAGCGCGACCGCCUCCACCUCCCGAUCGCGUCACACUCUAGGUCCAAAGAUGGAGUGCGCACUUGUCUGUGGUCAUUUCCCAUUAUAAUGAAUGGGAGGCGCAGUUUCUACCAAAACACUCGCUGCAGACAAACUACAUGUCCUAUUUGAAAAAAGUCUGGACCAUGAGUGAGGGCACAAACACAGCUAGGAUAUAUCCAAAUGGCAAGUUGCUCCUCCUUUCGCUUUUGCCGAGAGAGCGAUGCGAUUGAGCCAUCGAGCGAUGGGCAAGAAAAACUUGACUUUUUCUCCUGCCAUGGGGGGAGGGGGGGGGAUGUGGAUUCUUUUAAGAAUGUGGAUAUUUGGGUCAUCUUUGGCACCCCCUAGAACGUAAACCGUGGGGUGCAGCGUCAUGAUUUUUACAACUUUGAAUGGCCAUGGGGUGUAGAUUGGCCUGAGCAAAUCUGGUGUCAGUGGGACGAAAGCCUUAGGAGGAGUUAGCCACAUUCCAAUGUGUGCGAAUCGGCAAAAAAUGCAAAAUAGCCCUUUAACCGUACAUUUUACAGAUAUUUGCGCAUGACUUUUUCAUAGAUCUUAUUGAGAUACACGUGAUUGUCAAAUUUUGUGUCAUUUUGACAAAGCGUACAGGCGUGACACUCA